UACGUAGGGGGCAAGCGUUGUUCGGAAUUACUGGGCGUAAAGAGUGUGUAGGCGGUGUUCUAAGUCUGUUGUGAAAUCUCCCGGCUUAACCGGGAGGGUGCGGCGGAAACUGGAGGGCUUGAGGGUGGGAGAGGUAAGCGGAAUUCCUGGUGUAGCGGUGAAAUGCGUAGAUAUCAGGAGGAACACCGGUGGUGUAGACAGCUUACUGGGCCACUACUGACGCUGAGGCACGAAAGCGUGGGGAGCAAACAGG
rnacentral:rRNA from 1 species